rnacentral:rRNA from 1 species
CAGCCGCCGCGGUAAUACGAAGGGGGCUAGCGUUGUUCGGAUUUACUGGGCGUAAAGGGCGCGUAGGCGGACUGAUAAGUCAGGGGUGAAAUCCCAAGGCUCAACCUUGGAACUGCCUUUGAUACUGUUUGUCUUGAGUUCGAGAGAGGUAAGUGGAACUGCGAGUGUAGAGGUGAAAUUCGUAGAUAUUCGCAAGAACACCAGUGGCGAAGGCGGCUUACUGGCUCGAAACUGACGCUGAGGCGCGAAAGCGUGGGGAGCAAACAGGAUUAGAUACCCCGGUAGUCCCUGUCUCUUAUAA